AGUCGAGCGCGUGAAGCUUUCUGAAGCCUUCGGGCGGACGAAAGCUGAUCGAGCGGCGGACGGGUGAGUAACACGUAGGCAACCUGCCUGUAAGACCGGGAUAACUCCGGGAAACCGGGGCUAAUACCGGAUAAGAUCUUCUUCCGCAUGGAGGGAGAUUGAAAGGAUGGCCGCAAGGCGAUCGCUUACAGAUGGGCCUGCGGCGCAUUAGCUGGUUGGUGAGGUAACGGCUCACCAAGGCGACGAUGCGUAGCCGGCCUGAGAGGGUGACCGGCCACACUGGGACUGAGACACGGCCCAGACUCCUACGGGAGGCAGCAGUAGGGAAUCUUCCGCAAUGGGCGCAAGCCUGACGGAGCGAUGCCGCGUGAGCGAGGAAGGUCUUCGGAUUGUAAAGCUCUGUUGUCAGGGAAGAACACGUACCGUUCGAAGAGGGCGGUACCUUGACGGUACCUGACGAGAAAGCCCCGGCUAACUACGUGCCA
rnacentral:rRNA from 1 species